CGACUUAUGAUGAGCUGUGUUUUCUGAGCAUGACCGCGUGAAGCUCAAUCUGAGUACUCUGAAGUCC